CGCAAGCCUGACGGAGCAAGACCGCGUGCGGGAUGACGGCCUAAUGGUUGUAAACCGCUUUUCUCAGGGAAGAAGUCCUGACGGUACCUGAGGAAUCAGCCUCGGCUAACUCCGUGCCAGCAGCCGCGGUAAUACGGAGGAGGCAAGCGUUAUCCGGAAUUAUUGGGCGUAAAGCGUCCGCAGGGGGCGCAUCAAGUCUGCUGUUAAAGGUCGGAGCUAAACUCCGGUAGAGCAGUGGAAACUGGUGCGCUAGAGGGCGACAGGGGUAGAGGGAAUUCCCAGUGUAGCGGUGAAAUGCGUAGAGAUUGGGAAGAACACCGGUGGCGAAAGCGCUCUACUGGGUCGCACCUGACCCUCAGGGACGAAAGCUAGGGGAGCG
rnacentral:rRNA from 1 species